rnacentral:rRNA from 1 species
UACAGAGGUCUCAAGCGUUGUUCGGAUUCAUUGGGCGUAAAGGGUGCGUAGGCGGCGCGGUAAGUCGGGUGUGAAAUCUUGGAGCUUAACUCCGAAACUGCAUUCGAUACUGCCGUGCUUGAGGACUGGAAAGGAGACUGGAAUUUACGGUGUAGCGGUGAAAUGCGUAGAUAUCGUAAGGAAGACCAGUGGCGAAGGCGGGUCUCUGGACAGUUCCUGACGCUGAGGCACGAAGGGCAGGGGAGCAAACGGG